rnacentral:lncRNA from 10 species
GAGGACAGUGGUGCCCAGAAAGUUUGCUUACUUUGUUCAAGAACUUUUUAUUGAUAAAUAGAAGAAUUGAUAUUCCAGCUUAGGACUCUCCAGUUUCAAAUUAUGUAUUCUACCAGUCCUCGUCUGCUAAUUCAUGAAUGUGAAUUAGGCAGAUUACGCAACUGGUUCAGGUUUUAUGGAUUAAGAAGUCCAACAGGGUACAACAGAGGUGGCUUUUCUAUGCCUUAUAACGUCUGCGGUCUCAGAUGGAAGACUCAAAGAUGAGGAAGUGCAAUCAUCUAAAGACAGCUACCCUCCUAUGUCAGGUAGUUGAUGCCUGCUUCUGACUGAUGGCCUCUCCUCUCCAAAUGGGCCUUUCCAUUAAGUCUCUCCAACAUAGUGGCUUCAGGGUCAUAGGCUUUUUUCACAGCAGCUCAUGAUUCCAAGGACAUAUGUCCUGAAACAGAUAAAGAAUGAAAGAAAGAGUUUGAGAUGAGGGGAGUAAAGGAUUAUACCACCUCCUUUGACCUAACUUCAGAAGUCACAAAGCGUCAUUUCCACUGCAUCCUACAUAACAGAAGCAAGUCAAAAAGAAGGAUUCAUUCAACAGAAAGAAACAUACCGGCCCCCGCCUCUUGAUGGAAGAGUGUGUAAACAUUACUAUAGCAA